rnacentral:tRNA from 2 species
GCCGGUAUAGCUCAGUCGGUAGAGCAACCGCCUUGUAAGCGGUAGGUCCCCAGUUCGAAUCCGGGUGCCGGCACCA